rnacentral:lncRNA from 13 species
AAAGUUUUUAAAAUGUCAGAAAUCCUCAGGCAGUUUCAGAAGGCUGGUUUUAAAGACAGGGAAGGGAGGCAGGGAAGAUCAGUGUGCCGGCGUUUGAUAACAAUAUUUUUCCCUCCCCGGUUCUGUUGUUCUCACUGGGGGGGAAGACUUGGUGCACUGCCGGGAGCCUCGCCAGCUGAUUUGGUGGCUUGUUAGAAAUGAUUGCUUUAUAAUUACCUUCGACGCAUUGUGUGCGAGCCUCGUGAGCUGCGUUCUAUUAUACUGUAUUAGUCGUAAUGAACCAGUCCAUAUGCUAGCAAUCUGCUUGUGAGACAAGACAGCGGGAAACGGAGACCGUUUUGCCUCUUUUCUCAGACGUUUACUCCAACUGGGCCUCCUGAAGAUGAUGAGAAGCAAAGGUUUGGGGAAGGUGGGGGGCAGCAGACAUGUCCUCUGAGACGCGAUUCGCCAGGGAGCCUCAGCUUUCAAAAGAGACGUUUCAUUUCAUUCGCUCAAAGUUUCAGAAGUGGAUUUCUAGGCUACAACAUGCAUAAGAAUGCUAUGAUGUUUCAUCUGCUAACUCCGUUGUAUGAGGGUUUCCCCUAGUUUCCAACCUAACUGCAGUAGAGUGAAGAAGCAAAGCACUCUAGACAGAGACCCCCACAGAACAACAAGCAACAGUGAAGUGGUGAUGCCAGUCAGACAGCGUGGUGGCGGAGAGGAGAGGAGAGGAGAGGAGAGGAGAGGAGAGGAGAGGAGAGGAGGAUUUGUCAGCAGAAGGUGAUCUGCCAGUAAACCGAAUAGAGGGGAGAGAGAGUUGUGAAGAGGGCUGUGAGCAUCUGUAGUCACAACAUGAGCUCCUAGGAGGAGGCCAGAAUGGAGAAGACAGGCUGGACUAGGUCCACACACACACCUGCUCUGCUGGUCCGGCAGAGUUGGUCCGUUGGGUUUGAGGGAUGUGACGGAAGGAUGUGUUGUUGUAGGUAGUGGACUUAGAUGGUGUAGGUAGUGGACAGAUGGUGUAGGUAGUGGACUUAGAGGGUGUAGGUAGUGGUCUUAGAUGGUGUAGGUAGUGGUCUUAGAUGGUGUAGGUAGUGGACUUAGAUGGUGUAGGUAGUGGUCUUAGAUGGUGUAGGUAGUGGACUUGGAUGACUGGCAGGCUUUUAUUAACUGGUGCAGUUGGCAAUCAUUUUUAGGCCAGUGGGUCAUCCGAAAAUAUAUUUUUUUUGCCCAGAAAGAUCCUUAUGUGGCUAGUAUAUAAAUGGUCCGGUGUGCUAGAAAAUGCCAGGGCUGAUUUCUGGCCCCAGUCCGCCCCUGGUCAAUCAGGUUUCAGGAUGCUGCUAGGCUGACUGGCCUGACAUCCUAUCGGGUGUUCUCUAAUUGAGCCUGUCACUAAUCUGUCUUGUACCCUAUCUCCUUCUUGACUCCCAUCAGGUCUUAAACAUUAUACUAAUUAACUACCAUCCCCAGGUAGAUAGUUUAAAACAACAGGAUACCUGCCUGUCAGCUCUGAAACCACAUACCACAGAUGUAGGAUCUCAAUUUGAGCCAGUAUGCCACAGCAGGAAAAUAAUCAUGCAUCAACAGUAAAUAUGAAUUAUUUUGUGGAUUAUAAUUAAUAUACUUUUUUGUAGGGGUUGAUAACUUUUUUCGUAAGGGAAAAUCAUGUCUGAAAUUUCAAAGUGGAAAUUACAAACUUCAGAAGCCUUUUUAAACCUCAACUACUGUACACAUUUUACAUUUCCUGCAUUGAGGGCAAGUUCUCCUGCAACAGGGUGAUCAAAUUAAGAUCCUACAUCUGUAAUUAACUACCUACCAUCCCCAGGUAGAGAACCUAAAACAACAGGAUACCUCCCCAACGAACACAGACAGGCAAUAAGGAAAGAAAUUAAGCAAAAAAAUACCCAGAGAAGCACUAUACAUCAUUUCUAAGAUUCAUAAAACAUCAAAUAAUUAUACAAGGAAUUUGUGAAGUUAAAUGUGGUCUUUGCCGUACAUGAGAUCCUAUCAAGAAACAUUUUCAAAAUA